GUACAGGGUAGCCUAGUGGACAUGGCACCUGCCCGGUAAGCAGAAGGUUGUGGGUUCGAUUCCCGCCCCUGGACA